rnacentral:lncRNA from 1 species
GGCGGCAGCUGGUGGCCCGGCGGGGCACCGCCACCCUCGGCCGCAUCGCGCCGGCCAUGGAUCCCUUCCCCAAGGACGGCGAGAGCGCGGCGGGCGGGGAGCCCAGCCGGGGCGCGGCCCCCUCCAGCGGGGUGGUGGUGCAGGUCCGGGAGAAGAAGGGCCCCCUGCGCGCCGCCAUCCCCUACAUGCCGUUCCCCGUGGCUGUCAUCUGCCUCUUCCUCAACACCUUCGUACCGGGGCUGGGCUACAAGGAACAGGGGAUCCCACAGCAGCUGUAGUGGCUGGGACAAGUAUGGUCAGAGAAACACGGCGAGAGAUUUCCUUUGGCAGCUCUGGGCCACGGACCUUUUCAUUACCCUUUGUCUUUCUUCUUCUUCUUCUUCCUUUUGUUUUGUUUUGUUCUGUUUGAACCUGGUCCAUCUGCCCAUCCAGCGGAGCGGAGGUGCAGAGCAGCCGACGGAGACUUGCACUGAUCCCAUUGAGCAGCAGAGAUGGGGCAAGCACAGCGUGGGGUAGGACUGGUCCUGGCCAGCACACGAUGGGCAGCUGAUGAGGAGGAUGGUGCCAGGAGAAGGAAACACCCUUGGCAAAGGUGGCAUCCAUGCAGGCAGCUGAGCCAGGGGAGCAGGAGAUGCUGCUUUCCUCCCUCUUCCCAGGAGGGAGUAGCUGAAGAUGCUUUGCCUCCUUUUUAUGCUCACUGUUAAAGGAAACUGGCUGUGGACAUCAAAUGCCAAGGAGCUAUUAACAGAUACAUCUACAGUAUAUAAAAGCAAACCAGUUGUACUUUUCCCCACUCUGAGAGUCCAUCCUUGACUGCUUCGUUGUAGCAGAGGGCUCAGCCCAGCCUCCCCUGCUCACUGUGUAUAUAUGAUGCUCAAUGAAGCUCUGUCUGUGCAGAUAUCUUGAGAAACGUGCUUGCUGUAAAUCAUGCUGUACUGAUAAAUGGACCGAGACCAUCCCCUACUUCCAUCCACUGGCACUAUGUGAAGACCAGACCUCCCACCAGCCCUGAGGGGACGUUAUCUAGCAACGGACCAGUGCCCUGCAGCACCUUGACUCUAGAUGCUUGCCAAAGGCUUCUACUGUAAAACAAUACUGGGGGAGCCAAAAGACGACUUUUUCUCCUUUCCCCUGAAAGGGACUUGCUGGCAGUGUUUCCGUGCUUUGGAAGUGGAUCCCCUUACAGCUCGGCAUGUGUUCCUGGCUGGAGCAGCAUCCCUGCUCUGCUUCUCCAGAGGCCAAAUUCACCACCCAGCGCUUUCAUGCCUCUUGCUGGAGCACCACAGGGAAAAGUCAUCUCCUCCAGGACACCCACCAACACCAGGGCUGGAUAACUCACCUCCCACUUGCAGGAGCUGUGCCAUGUCAUCCACCAGUGCCCGCUGUGCCACACCACCACUGCAAACCAACCCAUCUGCGUGCUGGCAUAGCAAGAGGUCACAGCCAGUGAACGCUUGGUCUGCUUGAAGGCACCUGGCAAUCCCAGCAUCAUCAUCUGCUUUAUAAAUAUAGAUGUUUUAGAUGCAAGUUUUACAGCUAAAAGAGUGAUAGUGGGUAAUGAAGAAUAAAUGCAGUUGCUUCACCCCCAUCUGCCAACACCACAGUGUUUUCUGCUGCUCUUUCCCAUUGUGAAAACCUAAAAAAAAAAAAAAAAAA